CCUACGGGAGGCAGCAGUGAGGAAUAUUGGUCAAUGGAAGCAAGUCUGAACCAGCCAUGCCGCGUGCAGGAAGACGGCUCGAUGAGUUGUAAACUGCUUUUGUACGGGGGUAAAUCCCGAUACGUGUAUCGGGUUGAAAGUACCGUACGAAUAAGGAUCGGCUAACUCCGUGCCAGCAGCCGCGGUAAUACGGAGGAUUCAAGCGUUAUCCGGAUUUAUUGGGUUUAAAGGGUGCGUAGGCGGUUCUGUAAGUUAGCGGUGAAGUCCCGGUGCUCAACUCCGGCACUGCCUCUGGUACUGUCGGGCUAGAGUUUAGUUGCGGUAGGCGGAAUG
rnacentral:rRNA from 1 species